UACAGAGGUCUCAAGCGUUGUUCGGAUUCAUUGGGCGUAAAGGGUGCGUAGGCGGCGCGGUAAGUCGGGUGUGAAAUCUCGGGGCUUAACUCCGAAACUGCAUUCGAUACUGCCGUGCUUGAGGACUGGAGAGGAGACUGGAAUUCCUGGUGUAGCGGUGAAAUGCGCAGAUAUCAGGAGGAACACCGAUGGCGAAGGCAGGAUCUCUGGGCAUUAACUGACGCUGAGGAGCGAAAGCAUGGGGAGCGAACAGG
rnacentral:rRNA from 1 species